UGGUGGCGGCGGCGGAGGGCGAGCAAAACCAGCUGCAAAGAUGGAGGAGAAGAGGAAAAGGAGGAGGUGGUUGUGGUUAUGAAGGGCUGCCGUGGCAGGGACAGCCGGUUAUAGUUUUCCUUUUUUUUCUUGGUGGUGGUGGUGGUGGUGGGGAGGAAGAAGAGCUACAACUGGGACAAGACGGGCCCAGUAAUUGCAAGCUUUCCAUCCUGCACGAACAUCUUCAAGAAAAGCAGCAGCAGCAGGAACGCGCCAUUUUCCCGAAAUUCUGGCAGGAUUUCCCUAGAAGGACUUGCCUCUUUUGCCACAAGGGAUGUCCCAACAGUGUUGGCAGAACAGCAUCUAAGCAUCUCCGCUGUCAGCCCCUGCUCCUUACCUGAACAUCACCAGAGAUCUAACUCUCCAAGCAGCUGCCGCCGCCUUCUUCCUGAUUAUUCAUCAGGCAGCCACCUACCAAGAAGGACAACAUGAACUCUAAGAAUGAGUCAGCCACUGCACACUGGGUCAACAUUUUCAUCGAACUGUCUACCACAAUCCCAAGAUCUCUUUCCUGAUCAAUCACCACUAUCUCAGUGCCCAUCAGCUUAUGUGCAGAAUUGAGUUAUUUUGCCCUAACAUUCAGCACUUUACUCUUACUUACAUCGAACUUAGUUUGCCAUUUUAAUGUCUGUUCUCCCAGUUUGGAGAGAUCCUUUUGGGGUUCCUUGUAAUCCCUUUCUGUUGUAACUAGCCUAAAGAAUUUGAUGUUGUUAACAAACUUUGUCUCCUCUGUCCUAAUUCUGGUUAAUUUAUGAACAAAUUGAAACACCUGCGUUCCAAUACAGCUUCCUGUGAGAUGCCACUGCUUACAUCCUCCUAUUGGGUGAAUUUACCAUUUAUUCCUGCACUAUGAUUUCUGUUCUUUAGUUAGUUACUGAUCCAUUAGAAGACCACUGUUCUUGUUCUGUGUCUGCUAAGUUUGCCUGGGAGUCUGUGCAUAAUGGGGUCCUCUCCAUACCAUAUGAGCCAACCUCUUCUUUGCCCUACCCCAUUAGGUAUUGACCAAGCAUGAGUACUACCUGCUGGGAGAAUAGGAAAUACUUCUCAGUUCUGCUUGAGGAGAAUUGCCCAGGGUGAGGAAUGUACUUAAAUUGCAUAUUUUAUUUACAAAUAAACUUCCUGAGAGAUGGAGGGCAAGUGUUACCUCAGAAAGUAAAGUGAACCUUUAUUCAGAAGAGAAGACAAGGCUGCUACUUCUGAAGAUGUGUAAAUGAUAUGCAAAACACAUCAGAUGUAAAAAAGAUUGAAGUGUCUUUGCAAUUAAAUAAAACUAUUUUCUUUAGCA